rnacentral:rRNA from 1 species
UACGAAGGGGACUAGCGUUGUUCGGAAUCACUGGGCGUAAAGCGCACGUAGGCGGAUUUGUAAGUCAGGGGUGAAAUCCCGGGGCUCAACCUCGGAACUGCCUUUGAUACUGCGAAUCUUGAGUCCGAUAGAGGUGGGUGGAAAUUCCUAGUGUAGAGGUGAAAUUCGUAGAUAUUAGGAAGAACACCGGUGGCGAAGGCGGCCCACUGGAUCGGUACUGACGCUGAGGUGCGAAAGCGUGGGGAGCAAACAGG